rnacentral:rRNA from 1 species
GAGUGCUCUCACACAAUCCAUCUCACCCCUUGUGCACCACCGCGUGGGUCCCUCUCCGGCUCCUCCGGAGGGGGGCUCGCGUUUUCACACAAACUUGAAGUAGUGUAGAAUGUCCUUUUUUGCGAUAACACGCAAUCAAUACAACUUUCAACAACGGAUCUCUUGGCUCUCGCAUCGAUGAAGAACGCAGCGAAAUGCGAUACGUAAUGUGAAUUGCAGAAUUCAGUGAAUCAUCGAAUCUUUGAACGCACCUUGCGCCCCUUGGCAUUCCGAGGGGCACACCCGUUUGAGUGUCGUGAAAUUCUCAAAACCCUUUCUUUUGGUCAUUUUCGACCAUCGAAAGGAUUUUGGACUUGGAGGCCUUUUUGCUGGUUUCACCUUGAAGCGAGCUCCUCCCAAACGUAUUAGUGGGGUCUGCAUUGUCGGUCCUUGGCGUGAUAAGUUGUUUCUACGUCUUGGAUUUUUGGCGCUGUACACCUGCUUCUAACCGUCUCAUUGACAACGAUGGUGUUCCGGUCGCCGCCGAUUUUUCGGUGGGG